CUGCAACGCCCUGGGCGGUCUGCUUCAGCCCGCCUUCUGACCGGACAGCGCACGAAUUUGGGAACUCGGGCCUGCU
rnacentral:tRNA from 1 species